CUAUUGCCCAACAGGCAGCCCAGAGCCCAAACCCUGUCCCUCUGGGAAAUACCAGGACCAGACUGGUCAAAGCCUGUGCAAGACGUGCCCAGCAGGAAAGUUCUGUGGCCCAGAAGUCCAAAUCCAAGAUCACAAUGAGACCUUUUCACAUGGAACGAUCAAGCCAACAGAUUGCCCGGCUGGAUACUACUGCCUCUCAGGAACUAAAGCUGCCAAGCAGUACCCAUGCCCCGAGGGCACCUUCAGUAACCAGACUGGGCUGAGCAAUUCCAAGGACUGCAGGGCUUGCCCUGGGGGGAAAUUCUGUGCAGAUGCAGGCCUCUUGACCCCGAGUGGCCCUUGUUUGCCCAGGUAUUACUGCAUUUUGAAGGCACGUGUACCUAAUCCUGUUAAAGAUGAAACUGGAGACUUGUGCCCAGCAGGACACUUCUGCCCA